UACAGAGGGUGCAAGCGUUGUUCGGAAUCAUUGGGCGUAAAGCGCACGUAGGCGGCUUUGCAAGUCAGGUGUGAAAGCCUGGGGCUCAACCCCAGAAGUGCAUUUGAAACUGCAGAGCUUGAGUCUUGGAGAGGGCAGUGGAAUUCCGAGUGUAGAGGUGAAAUUCGUAGAUAUUCGGAGGAACACCAGUGGCGAAGGCGACUGCCUGGACAAAGACUGACGCUGAGGUGCGAAAGCUAGGGGAGCAAACAGG
rnacentral:rRNA from 1 species